rfam:Hordeum vulgare subsp. vulgare, WGS project CAJW01000000 data, contig: morex_contig_136103
AUUAUAUUUCCUUCAUCCGAAAAUACUUGUCAUAAGAAUAAAUGUAUCUAUACAUAUUUUAGUUUUAGAUACAUUUUUAUUAUUCAUUUAUAUGACAAGUAAUUACGGACGAAGGGAUUAUAUA